rnacentral:rRNA from 1 species
AACCAGACUCCUACGGGAGGCAGCAGUGGGGAAUAUUGCGCAAUGGGGGCAACCCUGACGCAGCAACGCCGCGUGCAGGAAGAAGGUCUUCGGAUUGUAAACUGUUGUCGCAGGGGAAGAGGACAGUGACGGUACCCUGUGAGAAAGUCACGGCUAACUACGUGCCAGCAGCCGCGGUAAUACGUAGGUGACAAGCGUUGUCCGGAUUUACUGGGUGUAAAGGGCGCGUAGGCGGACUGUCAAGUCAGUCGUGAAAUACCGGGGCUUAACCCCGGGGCUGCGAUUGAAACUGACAGCCUUGAGUAUCGGAGAGGAAAGCGGAAUUCCUAGUGUAGCGGUGAAAUGCGUAGAUAUUAGGAGGAACACCAGUGGCGAAGGCGGCUUACUGGACUGUAACUGACGUUGAGGCUCGAAAGCGUGGGGAGCAAACAGGAUUAGAUACCCUGGUA